rnacentral:lncRNA from 1 species
CACAGCUUAGUGUUUCUCAGAAAUUUUGGCCAUCCAACGCAAAGAUGUGGACGUCAGGUCCUCACCUCAGAGAUUCCUUUUCUGGUAAACUCUCUUGCGGGCAGAUUUUAAUAUGCCAAGAAAACUUCUGCAAUGGUCUUCUGUUGCCCUGGAAUUUGAAUUAUUAGAUCAUAAUCCAUAAAUGGUAACUACACUCAAGAGACUCCUGCUAGGAGACUCCCUGUUUUCUCAGCGCUUACAGCCCUUGCUGAUUUUCCACCUUUCUAACAAAGGAGGGAUGAGAGGGAAGAACAAAGGGUCGCCAAGCCAAAAUCCUAAAUCAACAACAGAGACCACGGCAGGCAGGCGGGAUUCGCCGCAAAACCAGAAAGACAACCAGAUUUAUGGCAUUUGAGUCGCCAAAUAGAACUAUCAUUUUGCAAGGAGCUUGCUAAUGGAAACUGUUUCAUCGAUGAAAAAUCAUCAAAUUGCUUCAGUUCUUUGCUGGGUAAAACUCAUGUUUUUAAUUGGUACACCCUAAGGCUUUGUGGCAAGGGUUGCAGAAUACAUAAAUAAAGUCGUUUCAUGACAUAAAAUCUUUUCAAAUGCUAAAAUUAGGAAAGGAAAGAAAAGUUGAUUCAAAUGCCACGGAGACAAAAAUGUGUUUUUCUGGGACAAAGGAGAAUGAAUGAUUUAAGUUCAUGGCAAUUUUUAGUCUCAUUUGUGCACACAUACAAAUAAUCCUUUUUAAAAAUUGUAUUCAGCACUUGGGUACAAGUACAUGUUGUACCCAGGAAGUUCAAAUGACGAUUAUCAUUAUUAAUACCCUUGUUUUCCUUGCUUGCUUAUUGCCAAAUAAAACAACAAAUUAAACACAAACUGCUGUAGUAAAAUGACCAGGAGCACAAGUGUCCUAGAUAGAAAAGGCCUGGUCAGCAUUUCUAUUUCCUAUAAGGAAGGCCUCUUCACUUGCAAAGAUGGGCUCUCGGAGAAACUUAACACUGUAUCGCAGUGACAACUUUCCCAUUUCACAGGCAAAAGAAUGUCCCACAUUUCCUUGACUAUGAUGGAAACAGGGACAAACACUCCUUAGGUGGUUACCUGCUCAGCAGGGAAAAUAAAAAGAGGCCCUGAGGGAUGCUAAAAAAUAUUAACUUGCCAUUAAAAGUAAUUAUAAAAAACGCAAUUACUUUUGCACCAACCUAAUACUAUCUCAGAGACUGUGUUUUCUCUCUGGAAAUACAAGCUCUAUGCAGGGUCAGGUGUGGUUUUGUGUUGUUUUCUCCGGGGGGUUUUUGCACAGAGUCCUCCUAUCUUUGUAGACAAUUCUCAGUCAGUUUUGAGACAGGAGACUGGAGUGGGGAUGCUUUAGUCCCAGAGGUAUGCAGUUUUCAGCGAAAGUGGCCAAAGGAAUGUCCCAACCAGACAUUUCUACCAAUGAGGCAAGCUAAGGGAUUCUUACUAAUUUUUUGGAAUUUCACUGAGCUGUGGAAGGAAGAAAUGAGUAUGGUUUCCUUUUUUCUUUCUUUCUUUUUUUCUUAAACCUGAAACAGGAGCAGGAUUGUAGCUGUCACAAGCUGACUCAAUAUCUUUUGCAGCACCAAAGCCUUUAAAAUCCUUGGAGCACUUGUGAGAACUAAUGUUUAUGUUGGGACCUUUACAUUAGUUGAGGUGUGUGUGAGUGUGUGUGCGUGUGUGCAUGUGUGUGUGUGUGUAUGCAAGUGCCAUGUGCACAGUGCCAACCAUCUGCCCGGUGGCUCCACAUCUGAGGAGGGUGGCAAGAGCGAAUCAUUCUCUCCUUGGUCUGGAAUAACUUAACCCUGCAGAGAAAUAGACUUCAGUUCAACAGUUAAAAAAUGGAAGAAUCAGAAUGAGGUUUGCAGCAAGCCCAAGAACGCCCUUGACAUUCAAACCACGCACCCUAGCCUCCCUCACUACCAGACCUGGCCAGGUAGUGAUUUGUGGCACAGCAGAGACCACCACACAGCUCUCUGCCUUCUAGUCCAGUCUACAACACGUGAGAUUCCCAUCACUGCAGACUCAGAAGGUCCUUGACACUGCAAGAAGGAGCUGGAACAAUCUUUUGAUAAAGGUAUUUGACAAUAUGUCCCACGAGUCUUUAAAUGUGUUAAUAUCCUAUGACCCAGUAAUUUCC